rnacentral:rRNA from 1 species
AUGGCGGCGGAGCAGAGCGCGGAGCACUUCAGGGGCCAGGCGCGGCUGCCGGGCUUCGCGGCGCCGCGGCGGUACGAUCUGCGCCUCACGCCAGACCUCGCCGCCUGCACCUUCGCGGGCUCGGUGUCCGUCUCCGUCGACGUCGCCGCGCCCACGCGCUUCCUCGUGCUCAACGCCGCCGACCUCGACGUGGCCCCCGGGGACGUGCACUUCGCGCCCAAGGGCUCCGGCCAGGUGUUACUUCCUGUGGAGGUUACCAGUGCACUGGAGGAUGAGAUCUUGAUUAUUCGCUUCAAUGAAGUGCUUCCUCUUGGGGAGGGAACGUUGGUAAUUGCAUUCCAAGGAACUUUGAAUGAUAAGAUGAAGGGUUUUUACAGAAGUGUGUAUGAGCUCAAUGGGGAGAAGAAGAACAUGGCUGUAACCCAGUUUGAACCUGCUGAUGCAAGGCGCUGCUUCCCAUGCUGGGAUGAACCGUCUUUCAAGGCUGUAUUCAAAAUUACUCUUGAAGUUCCGUCUGAGACCGUUGCUUUGUCAAAUAUGCCAGUUGUUGAAGAGAAGGUUAAUGGUCCUACAAAAAUUGUCUACUUUCAAGAAUCACCGAUAAUGUCAACAUACCUUGUGGCCGUUAUUGUCGGCAUGUUCGACUAUGUAGAAGCUUUCACAGCGGAUGGUACUAGUGUUCGUGUUUACACACAGGUUGGUAAGAGUGCCCAGGGGAAGUUUGCGCUAGAGGUUGCUGUGAAGACACUGAUCCUCUUCAAGGAGUACUUUGCUGUGCCAUAUCCUCUCCCAAAAAUGGACAUGAUUGCCAUUCCUGAUUUUGCUUCUGGAGCGAUGGAGAACUAUGGCUUAGUUACAUACCGUGAAACAGCUUUGCUAUUUGAUGAGCGACACUCUGCAGCUGCUAAUAAACAAAGGGUUGCAGUUGUUGUUGCACAUGAAUUAGCUCACCAGUGGUUUGGAAAUCUUGUGACUAUGGAAUGGUGGACACACCUAUGGCUUAACGAAGGUUUUGCAACAUGGGUAUCCUACUUAGCUGCAGAUCGUUUCUUUCCAGAAUGGAAUGUUUGGAUUCAGUUUCUAGAGGAAUCUACAACAGGUUUCAGGUUGGAUGCCCUUGCAGGGUCACAUCCAAUUGAGGUUGAUGUAAAUCAUGUUGAUGAAAUAGAUGAGAUAUUUGAUGCUAUAAGCUAUAGGAAAGGAGCUGCUGUUAUCCGAAUGUUGCAAAGCUACCUUGGGGCUGAGAUCUUCCAGAAAUCACUGGCUGCAUAUAUCAAAAGGUUCGCAUAUUCAAAUGCCAAGACAGAGGACUUGUGGGCUGCCCUCGAAGAGGGGUCUGGUGAGCCAGUGAAAACAUUAAUGCACUCAUGGACAAAGCAGCAAGGUUAUCCUGUUGUCAGCGUAAAACUCAAGGAUGGAAAGCUAGAGCUGGAGCAGACACAGUUCCUGUCAAGUGGGUCUGAAGGAGUUGGGCAAUGGGUGGUUCCCAUCACACUAUGCUGCUGUUCAUACUCAGUUCAGCAAAAGUUCCUUUUCCGUGGAAAACAGGAGGAUUUCAAUUUGUCAGGGCUCGUAGAAUGCCAAAAGAAAGAUGAUUUCUGGAUUAAACUUAAUGUCGAUCAGACUGGUUUCUAUAGAGUGAGUUAUGACGAGGAACUUGCAUCCCGACUUAGGCAUGCAGUUGAGACCAAUAUACUGAGUGCAGCAGACAGAUACGGUGUACUUGAUGACACCUAUGCCCUCUGUAUGGCUGGUAAACAGAAGCUGGUCACGUUGCUGCAUUUGAUUGCUGCGUACAAGAAUGAGACUGAGUAUACUGUGCUUGCACAUGCCAUCAACACAAGCCUGAGCAUAUAUGAGAUGAUGGCCGUUGCUGCACCUGAGGAGUUGGUUAAUAUGAAGAAGUUCCUAAUUGACUUCCUUGAGCCAUUCGCACAGAGAGUUGGCUGGGAUGCCAAGAGUGGGGAGGGUCACCUGAAUGCACUGUUAAGAGGUACCCUCUUAUCUGCUCUAGCGGAACUAGGCCAUCAGUCUACCAUAGACGAGGCUGUCCGUCGAUUUAAUGUCUUUCUGGAAGACAGAGAGACGCCACUCCUCCCACCAGAUGUCCGAAAGGCUGCAUAUGUUGCACUGAUGCAGACCGUGAACAAGUCAAACAAAAGUGGGUAUGAAUCUCUCCUGAAGAUUUACAGGGAAACUGAUCUGAGCCAGGAAAAAGUCCGUGUGCUUGGUUCUUUGGCAUCGUCCCCUGACCCUGAUGUUGUUCGUGAAGCGCUGAAUUUCCUGCUAUCGUCUGAGGUAAGGAAUCAGGAUUGCAUAUUUGUGCUCCGCGGAGUGACUGCAGCAGCGCAUGAGGUGGCAUGGACAUGGUUGAAGGAAAACUGGGACUACAUAGCAGAGACCUUCACUGGACACCUGCUCACCUAUUUCAUCACCGUCACUGUCUCACCGCUCGCCACGGACGAGAAGGGUGACGAGGCAGAGGAGUUCUUCAAGAGCAGGACCAAGGCGAGCAUCGCGAGGACGGUGAAGCAGAGCAUCGAGAGGGUGAGGAUCAAGGCCAAGUGGGUCAAGAGCACCAAGGGCGAGGCCGACCUCGGCAAUGUUCUCAAGCAGCUCGCUCACAAGCAUUGA